GAUGAACGCUGGCGGCGUGCUUAACACAUGCAAGUCGAACGAAGCACCUCUCCCGAAGCUUGACACAGCUUGCUGUAGAUUGAUUCAUUUGAGGUGACUGAGUGGCGGACGGGUGAGUAACGCGUGGGUAACCUGCCUCAUAGAGGGGGACAACAGUUGGAAACGACUGCUAAUACCGCAUAGUAAGAAGAAUUCGCAUGUUUUCUUCUUGAAAGAUUUAUCGCUAUGAGAUGGACCCGCGUCUGAUUAGCUAGUUGGUAAGGUAACGGCUUACCAAGGCGACGAUCAGUAGCCGGCUUGAGAGAGUGAACGGCCACAUUGGGACUGAGACACGGCCCAAACUCCUACGGGAGGCAGCAGUGGGGAAUAUUGCACAAUGGGGGAAACCCUGAUGCAGCGACGCCGCGUGAGUGAAGAAGUAUUUCGGUAGGUAAAGCUCUAUCAGCAGGGAAGAUAAUGACGGUACCUGACUAAGAAGCCCCGGCUAACUACGU
rnacentral:rRNA from 1 species